rnacentral:lncRNA from 1 species
UAUACUUACCGCCAACGAAUAGUAAUCACCCAAUACUCAAAUCGCUAGAAAAGCACUAAUCACUUCCUAACUUUUCCCUAAACAAGAAUUAAACAAAAAACCAUCAAUGAUUUUCCAUUAAAAACAUAGCUAGCACCCCUAAACAUACACCCAAUAACUUACAUGUUCAGAAUGGAUCGAAGAACCCGAAUGCACAACACUCAUGACCACAACAUGAUGGACAAGAACCAAAUAAGAAAACCCAAAAAAAGGAUGAAAUCAAAAGGAGAAAAACAUCAGAAACAGAAUUGUAAGGAGAAGGAAAAGGGACGUAAA